GCAACUCGACUCCAUGAAGUCGGAAUCGCUAGUAAUCGUAGAUCAGAAUGCUACGGUGAAUACGUUCCCGGGCCUUGUACACACCGCCCGUCACACCAUGGGAGUGGGUUGCAAAAGAAGUAGGUAGCUUAACCUUCGGGAGGGCGCUUACCACUUUGUGAUUCAUGACUGGGGUGAAGUCGUAACAAGGUAACCGUAGGGGAACCUGCGGUUGGAUCACCUCCUUA
rnacentral:rRNA from 2 species